rnacentral:rRNA from 1 species
UUGAACGCUGGCGGCAUGCCUUACACAUGCAAGUCGAACGGUAGAGGGGCAACCCUUGAGAGUGGCGAACGGGUGAGUAAUGCAUCGGAACGUGCCCAGUCGUGGGGGAUAACGCAGCGAAAGCUGUGCUAAUACCGCAUGUGAUCUGUGGAUGAAAGCAGGGGACCGCAAGGCCUUGUGCGAUUGGAGCGGCCGAUGUCAGAUUAGCUAGUUGGUAGGGUAAAAG